ensembl:lncRNA
CUGAUUGGGAGGGAUUGGGAACAGGAGGAGAAGGGGACGACAGACGAUGAGAUGGCUGGAUGGCAUCACUGACUCGAUGGACAUGAGUCUGAGUGAACUCCGGGAGUAGGUGAUGGACAGGGAGGCCUGGCAUGCUGUGAUUCAUGGGGUCGCAAAGAGUCGGACACGACUGAGCGACUGAGCUGAACUGAUAAUACAGAUAACUAAUGAAAACCUAUUAUAUGGCUCAGGUAACUCUACUCAGUGCUCUGUGGUGACCUAAAUGGGAAGGAAAUCCAUGAAAAGAGGGGAUAUAGGUAUACGUAUAGCUGAUUCACGGAUGUUGAAGUUGAAGCUCCAAUACUUUGGCCACCUGAUGAGAAGAGACAACUCGUUGGUAAAGACCCUGCUGCUGGGAAAGAUGGGGAGCGGCAGAAGAUGAGAUGGUUAGCAUCACUGACUCAAUGGGAGUCUGUGAAACUCUGGGAGAUAGUGAAGGACAGGGAAGCCUGGCAUGCUGCAGUCCAUGGGGUCACACAGAGUCGGACAUGACUGAGGGACUGAACAACAGCAAUAGCUGACUCACUUCACUCUGAAGCACAAACUAACACAAUGUUGUAAAGCCACUAUCAGUUCAGUUCAGUCACUCAGUCGUGUCCAACUCUGCGUCCCCAUCUGCAGCACGCCAGGCUUCCCUGUCCAUCACCAACUCCCGGAGCUUGCUCAAACUCAUGUCCAUUGAGUCAGUGAUGCCAUCCAACCAUCUCAUCCUCUGUCGUCCCUUUCUCGUCCUGCCUUCAACCUUUCCCAGCAUCAGGGUCUUUUUCAGAUCAGAUGGCCAAAGCAUUGGAGUUUCAGCUUCAGCAUCAGUCCUUCCAAUGAGUAUUCAGGACUGAUUUCCUUUAGGAUGGACUGGGAUCUCCUUGCAGUCCAAGGGACUCUCAGGAGUCUUCUCCAACACCACAGUCCAAAAGCAUCAAUUCUUUGGCACUCAGCUUUCUUUAUGGUCCAACUCUCACAUCCAUACAUGACUACUGGAAAAACCACAGCUUUGACAAGACAGACCUUUGUUGGCAAAGUAAAGCCAUUAUACUCCAAUAAAAAUUUUUUUUUAAAUCCUUUGUAGGAGAUCGGUCCCCUCUGGGAGCAGCCCUGCUGUUCUGGGAGCCUCAACACAGCAGGGUUAUGUUGUGAUGAGUGGCCUCUGGGUCUGCUAACCUUCUGAAACGACUGCCCAGGCAGGCUGGGACCCGGUCACCAGCCCAGGGUGGAAAGCACAUUUGCAUUACAAGAAAUGGAAGGCAACACCCCUAGAGCCCCCAGCUGAGUAACAGGAACCCGGGCUCAGUUCCCCUGCUGUUGGGACUGCACUGAGAACUGGAAAAAAAGAAGCCGGUGGCAGGGUGACAUCAAGCCAUGCAGUUUCAGAUUCAACCCAUAUUUAAAUGGAAAUCACAGCAACAAAGAAUAUGACUUUCCCUUGCAAAUAUGGGUGUUCAUUUCUCCUUCAAAGGAACCGAGACAGUGUGAGGCGUGAUGGCGUGGCUUUAUGUGAUGGUGGGCACUUUUCCGGAGUCUCUCCUUGGUCUCUCAUCCAGCCCUCCACGGUGGGUCCUGAUGUCCAUGCACCAACUGGGAAACCAAGGCCUUAGUUUUCCAAGAGUUUGGAUGCACGUGCCAGGACCAAGGAGCAAGGCUCGCCACUACUGUUUCAAUCUUCAGGUAAUAGACAACAUUCAUUAUAGAAAAAUCAGAAGAUUUUUUAGAAAAAGGUGGAAUGACUUCCCUGGUGGCCCAGGGGCUAAGGCUUCAAGCUCCCAAGGCAGGG